GUGGGAGGCACUGCGUGCGUGGAGCAGAGGAAGAUGUGGCCCGCCUCCCUGCCGGAGAGGACACAGCGGCUUCCGGGUGGGGCCCCGUCCUGGCUUCUCCGCUCCUCAGUAGACACGGAGCACCGAGACGGCAGGGCUGCGCGAAUCUCCCGCCAGCCUUGACAGAGCCACAAGAGCCGUCCUCCAGCACGUGUUCAGGGCUCAGGGUGCAGUGCCCACGCUCCUGAUCUGUGCCCGCACCAGGGCUCCUCACCUAGACGUGAGCUGGAUGAGGAAUUCUUG
rnacentral:lncRNA from 1 species